CUCCUGUCUUGCUUCUGAGCGGUAGGGUAACACUGAACAGAACCGGCUGCGAAGUGAGGUUUUCCUGUUCACAAGUCACAUCUAUAGAGAUCACUUUUUCAGAAAAGAUCGUCUUUUUGAGAUGCAGCCGAGAAUGCAGUUUGGGUUGGAGCUGAUUAGAAGCUGUUGCUUUUCCGCCGUCACAUGCUGCCAUCCUGAGGCCAGUUCCUGCAGUGCCUGGAACCGUGCAUGCUGCGGGCUGGCUGUGUUGGGAUGCACAAGCACUGUGUAUCCCUGCCUGCUGAGAGACCACCCGAGAUCAAAAUCUGAGUCUACUGAGAAUCAUCACAGAGGAUCAAUGGAUUUUUUCAGGAUGGAGCUUUACUGACAAGACGCACAGGAUGGAGUUUUCUAUAGGACGAUCCAAGUUUCCUAGGUUCUCCUUCAAUCAAUAGCUGCAGCAGGAUCCUCAAAAAACACUGGAAAAAAAACUCAGAUAAACUUCUCUCCUGACAUCUGACAGCAGAAGAAAUGGAAAUGUAGCAGUAAAAAGUUGUAGGACGGGAGAAAGAGAACUUUCAAGCUCUCUGUUUCUCAACUUACUGUUGUGGUGUACAUUAAGCUGUAAAACUGAUUCAGGAUCCUUAUCCUGUUAUCCUAAGUUAAACCAAGAAUGCAUACAGCCUGUAGCUAAAUACCCUUUCUAAAACUUCUACAAACAAAAAUACAUUUAAUAUGGAAUUAUAAUGUUCUUUACUGCAGGGGUUUCUUUUGGAAAACUUGAAGUGCUAGAUCUAGUGGAAGUCAGUUCUGAAACUAUUACAUCCCCUUUAAGCAUGAAUUGGUACAAGUAUUUCUUAUCUUUUUAAGUACAUGUGGCUAGAUUUUCAUUAAUUUUCGUUGUUUGUUUUUGGUUUUUUUAAAUCAAACUUGUAAUAUUAUUUAAUUCUUGCCAAUAAAAAAUUUCUUAGGUAAUAAAUUGAGAAGUGC
rnacentral:lncRNA from 1 species